CCAUUUUAGACUUGCAGCAGUAUGAUGCACACUGCAGCAGAACCGAGUGGCAGUUCUUCCUGUAUUGAGAAAAGCAGAAGAUUCCUCUUCUUGCUGGAGGAAGGGAAUGGAAAGAACAUCAGCAGAAACAGCUUCUUGAUGAAAGAAGAUUUCAGAUACAUUUCCCUGAGGAGGAAAAUAGAAGGAGGAAUUAGAACAGCUUGGUGUGACCAAUUCUGCAGUCCCUUUAGGCUGAAGUGCUAGUUAAAGAAGCAAACAUCACAAAGCUAUAUCCUGCUAGAAUCUGAAAUGUUUGUCUUAGCAGUUGUUUGUUAUGUCCUCUUGACUCUUUUACCAUGACACAAAAUUGAGACUCUGAAAAUGUUGUGAAACAUCUUGUGCAUUUAUAAUACGUUUAUAUAUUAAAUCUACAUAUAUGUAUUUGUAUUUCUAAUAAAAUUAAUGAGCAAAUGCAUUAUUGGUACAAAUUCCCAUCUCCCAAAAGGAAUUUUAAACAAUAAAGAUGGCUGCAUCCUCAGUAAAUGACUCAUGAAUUACGCAUGAGUAGGCGCUGCUUGUGAUCUAUAUUGCAAAUUAAGGAAAAAUACACUUACAGUGCGAUCCUAAGCAGAGCUACUGCCUUCUAAGCUUAUUGACUUCAGCGGUUUUAGAAAGGUGCAGCCUGCUAACUGUGCUGUUAAAUAACUAAAAAUGGCUAUUCAAAUCUCUUUUCCUAAACCUUUAGUAUUAUCUAGAUUAAAGUGUUCUUCAG